ACUCCUACGGGAGGCAGCAGUGGGGAAUAUUGCACAAUGGGCGCAAGCCUGAUGCAGCCAUGCCGCGUGUAUGAAGAAGGCCUUCGGGUUGUAAAGUACUUUCAGCAGUGAGGAAGGCGGAGUCGUUAAUAGCGGCCUCGUUUGACGUUAGCUGCAGAAGAAGCACCGGCUAACUCCGUGCCAGCAGCCGCGGUAAUACGGAGGUGCGAGCGUUAAUCGGAAUUACUGGGCGUAAAGCGCAUGCAGGUGGUUUGUUAAGUCAGAUGUGAAAGCCCGGGGCUCAACCUCGGAAUUGCAUUUGAAACUGGCAGACUAGAGUACUGUAGAGGGGGGUAGAAUUUCAGGUGUAGCGGUGAAAUGCGUAGAGAUCUGAAGGAAUACCGGUGGCGAAGGCGGCCCCCUGGACGGAUACUGACACUCAGAUGCGAAAGCGUGGGGAGCAAACAGGAUUAGAUACCCUGGU
rnacentral:rRNA from 1 species